CCUACGGGAGGCAGCAGUGGGGAAUAUUGCACAAUGGGCGCAAGCCUGAUGCAGCGACGCCGCGUGAGGGAUGGAGGCCUUCGGGUUGUAAACCUCUUUUGUUAGGGAGCAAGGCAUUUUUUGUUGAGUGUACCUUUCGAAUAAGCACCGGCUAACUACGUGCCAGCAGCCGCGGUAAUACGUAGGGUGCAAGCGUUAUCCGGAAUUAUUGGGCGUAAAGGGCUCGUAGGCGGUUCGUCGCGUCCGGUGUGAAAGUCCAUCGCUUAACGGUGGAUCCGCGCCGGGUACGGGCGGGCUUGAGUGCGGUAGGGGAGACUGGAAUUCCCGGUGUAACGGUGGAAUGUGUAGAUAUCGGGAAGAACACCAAUGGCGAAGGCAGGUCUCUGGGCCGUUACUGACGCUGAGGAGCGAAAGCGUGGGGAGCGAACAGGAUUAGAUA
rnacentral:rRNA from 1 species